AUACGGAGGGUGCGAGCGUUAAUCGGAAUUACUGGGCGUAAAGCGUACGUAGGCGGUUGGUUAAGUUAGAUGUGAAAGCCCCGGGCUUAACCUGGGAACUGCAUUUAAAACUGGCGAACUAGAGUUGAGUAGAGGGGAGUGGAAUUUCAGGUGUAGCGGUGAAAUGCGUAGAGAUCUGAAGGAACACCAGUGGCGAAGGCGACUCCCUGGACUCAAACUGACGCUGAGGUACGAAAGCGUGGGUAGCAAACGGGAUUAGAAACCCCAGUAGUCC
rnacentral:rRNA from 1 species